UACGAAGGGACCUAGCGUAGUUCGGAAUUACUGGGCUUAAAGAGUUCGUAGGUGGUUGAAAAAGUUAGUGGUGAAAUCCCAGAGCUUAACUCUGGAACUGCCAUUAAAACUUUUCAGCUAGAGUAUGAUAGAGGAAAGCAGAAUUUCUAGUGUAGAGGUGAAAUUCGUAGAUAUUAGAAAGAAUACCAAUUGCGAAGGCAGCUUUCUGGAUCAUUACUGACACUGAGGAACGAAAGCAUGGGUAGCGAAGAGGAUUAGAUACCCUCGUAGUCCAUGCCGUAAACGAUGUGUGUUAGACGUUGGAAAUUUAUUUUCAGUGUCGCAGGGAAACCGAUAAACACACCGCCUGGGGAGUACGACCGCAAGGUAAAAACUCAAAUGAAUUGACGGGGACCCGCACAAGUAGUGGAGCAUGUGGUUUAAUUCGAAGAUACGCGCAGAACCUUACCAACACUUGACAUGUUCGUCGCGACUCUAAGAGAUUAGAGUUUUCGGUUCGGCCGGACGAAACACAGGUGCUGCAUGGCUGUCGUCAGCUCGUGUCGUGAGAUGUUGGGUUAAGUCCCGCAACGAGCGCAACCCUCACUUUUAGUUGCCAUCAUUAAGUUGGGCACUCUGAAAGAACUGCCAGUGAUAAGCUGGAGGAAGGUGGGGAUGACGUCAAGUCCUCAUGGCCCUUACGUGUUGGGCUACACACGUGCUACAAUGGUAUCUACAACAGGAAGCAAGACUGCGAAGUUUAGCAAAUCCCUAAAAGAUACCUCAGUUCGGAUUGCACUCUGCAACUCGAGUGCAUGAAGCUGGAAUUACUAGUAAUCGUGGAUCAGCGUGCCACGGUGAAUGCGUUCCCGGGUCU
rnacentral:rRNA from 1 species